rnacentral:rRNA from 1 species
AAGUUCGCUGGCGGCACGCCUACACAUGCAGUCGAACGAGGUAGCAAUACCUAGUGGCAGACGGGUGCGUAACAUGUGGGUAUCUUGCCUUUUGGUUCGGAACAACACGGGGAAACCUGUGCUAAUACCGGAUAAGUCCUCACGGAGAAAGAUUUAUCGCCGAAAGAUGAGCCCGCACUUGAUUAGCUUGUUGGUAAGGUAAAAGCUUACCAAGGCUACGAUCAAUAGCUGAUUUGAGAGGAUGAUCAGCCACACUGGGACUGAGACACGGCCCAGACUCCUACGGGAGGCAGCAGUGGGGAAUCUUGCACAAUGGAGGAAACUCUGAUGCAGCGAUGCCGCGUGAGUGAAGAAGGCCCUUGGGUUGUAAAGCUCUUUUGUCGGGAAAGAUAAUGACUGUACCCGAAGAAUAAGGUCCGGCUAACUUCGUGCCAGCAGCCGCGGUAAUACGAAGGGACCUAGCGUAAUUCGGAAUUACUGGGCGUAAAGCGCGCGUAAAGCGGGAUAAGGUAAGUUAAUUGUGAAAGCCCAAAGCUCAACUUUGGAAUUGCAAUUAAAACUAUUUAGCUAGAGUUUAUCAGAGGAAAGCGGAAUACAUAGUGUAGAGGUGAAAUUCGUAGAU